GACGAACGCUGGCGGCGUGCCUAAUACAUGCAAGUCGAACGCACUCUCGUUUAGAUUGAAGGAGUUUGCUCCUGAUUGAUAAACAUUUGAGUGAGUGGCGGACGGGUGAGUAACACGUGGGUAACCUGCCCUAAAGUGGGGGAUAACAUUUGGAAACAGAUGCUAAUACCGCAUAAAACCUAACACCGCAUGGUGUAGGGUUGAAAGAUGGUUUCGGCUAUCACUUUAGGAUGGACCCGCGGUGCAUUAGUUAGUUGGUGAGGUAAAGGCUCACCAAGACCGUGAUGCAUAGCCGACCUGAGAGGGUAAUCGGCCACACUGGGACUGAGACACGGCCCAGACUCCUACGGGAGGCAGCAGUAGGGAAUCUUCCACAAUGGACGAAAGUCUGAUGGAGCAACGCCGCGUGAGUGAAGAAGGUGUUCGGAUCGUAAAACUCUGUUGUUGGAGAAGAAUGUAUCUGAUAGUAACUGAUCAGGUAGUGACGGUAUCCAACCAGAAGGCCACGGCUAACUACGUG
rnacentral:rRNA from 1 species